UCGUUAUAUAGGAAGUUCAAAAAGAUAGCACACAAGAGAUUUAAUACGUAUUUCAAAGAUUUAGUACGUACGUAAGAUAAAAGUAAUGUUAAACUGUAAGCUCGAGUCUUGAGUAGACGAUAUCAUUAAAGAAAAUAUGUAACAUGAUUCAGUGUUACCGAAAAUUGAGUUUUUUCGUAUGCCUGUUGGCAUAGAAUCAAAACAUGCUGACUAUUAUUAGUCUCGUACGCGUAAUAAUUUUGAAAGUAUCCGAUAGAUAUAUAUUUCGUCUUAUUAAGAAUGUGGUAAUUGCGAGUAGCUACUAUUCUACGAACUAGCUAGUAUGAAUCUUUAUGCAAAAAAUCUUUGUCGCGUUCAAAUUUCGAAAAAAUUAUUUUCGAUAUCGAAAUAAUUCCCGUGUCUAAUCGAUUUUUUCUGAAUACGUAUAUCUAUAUAUAUAUUUUUUUCUAAUUUUCAAGUUGGAAAAGGAUUUCAUUUUUGCAUAUGAAAGGGAAAGUAGGAGUAAUGCGCAAGGGUAAAGAUAUUUUUGUAAUCGUACGAAUUAUCACGUUCGCGUAUCGAGUUGCGCCGAUAAGAGACGCAACUCGAGAUAAGAUAGUGCCAAUACAUAUUUUUUUUUCUUAUCUACCUGAAACAUAGACAAAUACUGUUGUGAAAUGAAUAAUUUAGAAAAAAUAAGAAAAAUAAACAAAAAGUAUAUUUUUUGGUCACUCAUCAAAUCGUGGUUAUUUAACGAUGAAAAAAAAAGAAAUCACAGGUACGUGAUGGAAUUAUUCACAACGUUAGACAGUCAAGAAAGUUGCGGACCGAUCGGUAAGCGAGCAUUUUCCGAAAAUAAACAAGUCGUAUUAAUAGCGAUGGAUCUCAUAGCGAGGACGAACUUGGAGGAUGAUAUUUUGGAACGAACCAUGCUGCUACGAUUAUAUUUCGUAUUCGCGCGCGUACUGUUAUUAUGAUUAUGCGUUCGUUCUGUUACUAUGAUUAUUUUCAAAAUUCAUAGAACAAGAAUCCAUUGUUCAAAAAAAUAUCUACUUUUUCUCAUAUAUUUUCAAGGUCGCUUGGUGAUUUAUGAACAAUUUUAAUUCGAAUCCGUAAGUGUUUCCUGAAUUAUCCUCGUUUUGGCGCCUUAAAUUAAAUUAAAGAACGUUGUAUUGUUUGUGCUACUUUAACGACGAUCCAUUGGAAUUUAGAAUUUUCUAAUUUCUUAGAAAGGGACACGACCUAUACGAAUACGUAGUGUAUAAGGGUGUUUCUCUCUCUCUCUCUCUCUCUUUCUCUCUCUCUCUCUCUCUCUCUUUCUCUCUCUCUCUCUCUCUCUCCCUCUCUCUCUCUCUCUCCCUCACUCUCUCUCUCUCUCUCUCCCUCUCUCUGUACUCUUGCAGCGAAGAACGAGUUCUUCGUUCGUGACGAUCCAAUCUAUUUCUGUCCGAGGAUGGUCGUGAUUAAUAUUUCGGGUACUUCUUAUUGCCAAGUCGAAGUAAAGUCUGGCCGUGUAGUUUAAAAAUAGCCGUGGAGACGCGUGUCGUGUCCCCGUCGGGGAAAUUGAGUCUCUUUUCUUUCUCAUUUUCUCGCUGUAUUUGUCCCCUACACCGUUCCUUUCUCGCUUCCCAUCAUCGUGAAUGAUCUUUGAUGAUAUGAUAGUAACGAAGUUUAGACGGGGAGAUAUGUGACUAUUUCUCUUCUUUUUUUUAAUUCUGAAUAGUUAUCGUUAAAUGAUGAGAAUAGAAGAACAACGCGAUUCGAAUAAUAUUAGCAUUCCAAUAAAGACUUACCGGCAUAAGGACCCGAAGGUAAAGCGUUAUCUUUACCACUUUUUCCAUCUUUACUGCUACUCCCUGAAACAAUGAAAAGAAAAUUGCAUAUUAUAUACAAAUAGAUGCUUGAUAUAAUAUCAUACGGACGUAUAGAAUAGCAUACUACUACGUUAUGGAAUAGAAAGUACUAAUAUACAUAUACUUUUCAUAAAUGUACAGCUUUACCUUCGAAAAUCAAACUACGUACCUAACGCGAACCGAGUUGAAUCGGUGUCUAAUAGUAAGAGAUUAGCAAAGUGGACGCGUCGUUCGAUAUUCUGCUAAUAGACAAAAGUAGCUUGUCACUUGAUAUCUAAAGGAGUUUUUUGUUCGAAACGUGAAGAUUCCGACUGGAGAAAAUUCCUCCAAAAGCACGUAAAUUGAUAUAUAUUAUAUAGCUAUAUGCUCUAUAUACCUAAUGAGUUACAAGUUAAAAGUUACUUUUUAUUUUCCAUGAGCAAUAAAGAGUAAUUUUUUUCCAUGAGGAACAAAGAAUUUUUGUCCGAAAAAAUGUUUUCAUUUUCUUGGAAACAGAUGUGUACGAGGAUAUAUAUCAGUAGUAGGAUAUGUAGAUAUAUAUCAGUAACGUCCACGCUUGGAAAAACUAUAAGAGUAGAAACUGGAAGAUAGAGGUAGAGAGUGCUUCAAAGAAAUAGGGACAUGGAGGCAAACUAGUCGUAAAGAGAACAACCGUUUGCAGAAAAGCUAAGUAAGUUGCACCAAGUUCAGCUUCGUGAGCUAUACUUUAUAGUCGUCUAAGUCUUUGAACUGAUCUUUGUUAUCUAUCUUAAGUGGGUAUACGUACUAUAAUACGAAUACAUAGCCGUACUGUCUUGAUUUUUUUCCGAUGAAUUCGCACAUUCAAGUGGCCAGAUCGUAAUUAAGAUCCGUUCAUUUUGACGAAAAUAUGCGAGUGGAAAGCGUUUACUUAGAUUCUGGAGCUCGUUUAAAAUCAUCCGUUGGAUCUGUGGAGAUUUUUAUACAAAGUUUUUGUAUUUUCUUUUCGAUGAAUAUUCUUCGAAAAAGUAAUUGCGAGAUUGAAGAGCACGAAGUGGAUGUUAAUGCAGAGUUUUUGUAAGAAUGACACAGGUGUCAAAGCCAAUGCACUAACAAUAAAUGAAAACAGCUUAAUUUAAGGAUAUUGAGGUCAUCGAUAAUCAUAAAUCUACAUAUCUGAGAUUUUAAGUUUAACGAUAGUUUAAAUGACUAUGGUAUGCAUAACAUAGCCAUUUAAACGUUAGAAACAUUAUUCUAAGAAACUCGAAUAUUAUGGUCUCAUGAUGACACGGCUAAGUGCAAUAUUUUGUUGUCGUCACUAAAGAAUGGAAGUAUGUGGCCGAUGACUCGACGUCAUGGCGCCUUAUGCCGCUUGAAAGGGAGUAAACAUUUGAAACAAAGCAUUUGGUCACAGAGUGAAGGUACCAACCUUCUGAUAAGAGGAUUGAGUUUGAUUGUUCAGUACUUACUCGGCGAUUAUUUUCUAACACGUAUUAGUUAUAUAUAAUUUUUUUCAGAAUAAAGAUAAAUGUUCGAAGAAACGUUUUGCAUUUCGUAAUUGAACAUUCUUUUCUGUGUCCGUACCGAAAUUCAAUUGAAUAAGAUUCCACAAAUUGGAAAUUCACAUUCGAAGAAUGAAAAAGCCGAAGAUUCGUGCAAGCGCGGGCUUUCUUCUGAAUGAAAGCUCACCGAUGAUAUUCUUGAAUGUUCUAACAGUUCCUUGGAGCAAAGUCGCUUGAUACAGCACUGCCAUUGGCGGAUGUACGGUGAACCGUUAAAAAGUUAGAGGUUUUGCCGUUUCAAAGCGACAGUGUAUUCGGGAAAUAGCAUCGGGAAAGAUCGGAAAGGAUCGGAAAGGAUCGGAAAGGAUCGUUGGCACUAGAAUAGAGCAACGACGUCGAAGCAGACGUCGAUAACAUGGACACUCGUUGGAUCGAGCACAUGUUUGAGAUCCACGAGCAUAUCGCGGCUAUGUCCGCUACGUAAAGUGUAAUGACGUAGGUAUAAUUAAAAACACGACGACAUUGUCAACCGAGAUCCAUUUGGACGCGUAAACAAUCUUCGAAUGUUUUAAUCUCCGGAUUUCUAUUUAGUUAUAGGUAAGUAUAUAUUUAUAAGUUAAUUUUUCAGCUAAAUAUGAUAAUACGAUUUGAUCAAGGCGAUCGAAAAUUAUUGACAAAAUAACAAUGACAUCUAUAAAAAAAAAGUUUUUUAACCGAUGAUCGCGAUUAGGAUGUAGUUCCAUGAGGAUUGAAGUGUAUCUUUCGCGAUUGUAUCUAAAAAUGUUUGUUGGAGUGUCGAGAAAGGUUCGCAUUUCCGUGGCAUAGUGCGCGCCGAAAGAGCUGGUCGAUAUUUUUUGUCAUCGCGCGCAAAGCAGCUCGGUCGGGAGGAGGAUGAGUUUGAGAAAGCUUCGACGAGUGUCUCAAGAAACAAAGAGAGGUUGCAUCGUUUUCAUAGAUCUUCUAUCGCCUUGUUUUCUCCUCCUUUUCCUUGUUCAUAGGUCGAUGUAGAGGAUAGGUAGAGGUUGGCGACGUUGGCGGUGGCGUCUCUGCUAGAGGUGAAACGUUUGGAGUCCGCCGAAGGGUCGCUAGACAGGACGGUAGACAGGAGUAACGAUUGCCACCCCAGCCGCGCCGAGAUGGUCGCCCCCUACAGCUGCUUCACCCCUACGUGCUACCCAUUCGGUGAGCGCUACUAACCUAGCCGAAAACAUCUCCCACUGGCCUUUAAAAGAACAUUUCCAGCAUUUAUUUUCUUCGCUGUACCGGUCUGCUGACUGCUGCGCCACCGUCGACGUCGUUGUUUCUGCUGCUGACAGAGUGUUGCGGAUAAACGAAGGAGUGGGAAUAUGUCGUCGUCCACGUUAGACGACGCGCGACUGGCUCGUCUUCAGCGAAAUUAUCGACCGUUUUCUUUUACCGUUUUUUAAUUAAAACAAUCUUUUCUUGAAAGGGAUUAAUGAAAUAAUGUUUUGAUGUAAUGUUGAGAGAUAUAACGAUCAAAUUUCUUUUUAAUGAAAAAAGUUAAAUAUGAAUGAUGACUAAUAAGCUAACUUAUCUUUACAAAGCAUCGACAAUUGUAGAAAUUUCUAUGAUCAUUAAAGCUUAGUUAAUCGGCAUGAAGCAGUCCCUUAAUUACAUUUAAUAAUGCGUUAUUAGGAAAUUAAGAAACUAGGGAAAAAAUGAAAAAUAUUGUUCUCUAAAACAAGAAUGUCCAAGUUUUUUUCAGAUAUUUGAAAAAGCAAAUAAUUUUCUUUGUGAUCGAUAUUCAAAUUAAUAUUAACUGCAUGUAAAUAAGUGGUUAAGCUAAUAAAAUCUAAUGAUAUAAA